GAGACACAGAAUCUGAAACAGGCUCCAGGCUCUGAGCUGUCAGCACAGAGCCCCACGUGGGGCUCAAACUCAUGGACCGCGAGAUCAUGACCUUAGCCGAAGUCGGCCACCUAACUGACUGAGCCACCCAGGCGCCCCAUAGUGGCCAUUUUUAAUAUGUAGCAGGGCAGGGUUUAGAUUUUCCUCUCCUUACUCAAGUCAGUUAAGGCAUUGCUUUCAAAAUGUUGUCAGGAGUGUAGAAUUCAAGUAAACUAGCUAGAGUAGUUUCUGAUGACACAACUACUACUUUAGGUAGAUAUUAAUUUAGUAGUCAUUCUGCAAAUGGCAUUGUACUUACGGAAUAGAAUUUUAAAAGCUACCCACCCUCAACUCCUUAUUAUCUAAAAAGCUUAUUUGAAUCGUCACUUAUCCUCAGUAAAGAUGGCUUUUACAUAUUUGCUGUCAUUGCAUAUUCUUGUUAAUUAGGUUCUUUGUUGAUACUGCAGUUUCUGUUUAUUCUUAUAUCUUAGAUGCAAUCUGAGGAAGCAGGAAAGACCUUUUAAAAAAAAACAAUUACUUCCCAGAUUCCAGAGAAAGUGUAAGUCAAAUGGACAGUUAAUUAAAGGGAGCAUAGAAUGCCACUUAGACUAUAAUUGGUGGUGCAAUCUCCAGCCUAAAGUCAAAAGUGGAGAGAAGUCUAGUAAGGAAAAAAAAAGUAUGGUGAUUUUGGAAGACAUUGUUUUAGUCUUCAAACCAUUUCCUUUAUUUGGUUUGAAAAUUAUGUGAGGCAGUAAAGUUAUAAAAUACAUUUCUUCUUAAAAUGUGUAAUAUGCUCAAACUAAAUAGAAAAACAGAUUCUUAAAAACAGAUAACUUUUUUUUUUUGCCUGAUACUUUUGAAAUAAGAAAUAUUAAGAGCCGUAUUACCAGUCAUGCUUGUGAUGACCAGCAUGGUCAUUAGAAAUAACGUAUCAUAUCCAAGGACAGAAAUUCUUUUGUUGUCAUGGGGAACCUUGAACACAGAAAAGAGCCUUUAAUGACAUAUUUCCGACACAUUUGGCAAUUAGCUUAAGGUGGUUUAAUGACAUACGUAGGAGAAGUUGAAUCAGCUAGGCCCUUAAUGUCAAAAAUACUGAAGUUUCCCUGACUCAACUCACUUAGAAUGAACUACAGGGGCCGUGGUGCAAAGUUAAAUAUCUAAGUAGAUCGGCUCAUUUUGCACUUUGGCAACCACGCCAUCCACAGGCACUCAGCCCCUUGCCCACAGUCACCUCCUUAAAGGCCUCUGGCUCCAAGGAGGAUUUGAUGGUAGCAAAGUGAAUGUGUCAGCAUUGUGCUUCCCUCCUAACAGAAAGGCAACCCAAAGAGCAUAUCCCGUUAACGCUAGAUCAGUAUCAUCUACUUGUCAAAAGCAUUCCGUCAAUUACGAGCUGAAUUUUAUUUAUGGCAGAGUUAUACACAUUAGGAAAUUAGAAUUUUAACUUAUUAGCUGGAAAAGUUGAGAAGUUCUCUGGACUCAUUUUUUUAGGUAGAAUCUAAGUGAUUUGGAUCAUUGCCCACCAGUAAAAUUGCUGGGCAUGGUCGACAAAGAAAAUGUUCCUUCUAAUGAUUUUUAUGAGCUGAGCAGCUAUUGUUCCCAGUUGAGUGCUCUUUUCCUUUUUUUAUUGUUGCUGAGCAAAAGAAUUUAUGAAAAGCUUUUUUUUUUUUUAUUAAAAACCCUGCUCAAUUGAAAUGCAAGUUCAUUAAGUACUAUUCAUUUCUCUUCCUGCCAUAAUAACCCCCUGUCCCCCUCUGCUCAAUUCAAUAGUGCCUAGCCACACUGGUCAACACUUUAAGUCUGAACAGACUACUAUAUAAUAUAGAUAUGCAAUCUCCAACAUCAAGAAAGAGUUUUAUUUCAGAUGGGCAGAGUAUGAUCACUCAGGCUAAAAUUGGCCAUAAAUUUCACAUUAGUUCCUCAAGGGGGGAAGAUGCCCCUGGAAAUUUAAAUCAACGGUGGGAAACUUAAUUCAAUUUUGACAAGAUGGAAAUCACAUUGAGCUAUUGGUUCAGUAUUGACAUCUAAGCAGUAGUGCUAAAGACUAAGAAAUUCGAAUCGGCUUGUUAGUGUAAGUUCAAGAGAUUUUAUUAAUAAUAGCAAAUAUUUGUUGAACACCAUGUGCCAAGCCUCCUACCUGCAUUUUCUCUUUUAAUUUCCACCGUACCCCUAAGAGAUAGUUACUAUCUGUAUCCCCCAUUUCACAGAUGGAGAAAGAGAGGUAAGGUCAGAGGAGUUUAGGAACCUUGCCAAAAAUUACAUAGUUAGUAAGCAGUGAAACUGGGAUCCAAAUCCAGUUUGGCUUGACUCUGAAGCACAUGCUCUUUACAUGCUCUAUUGUAUUAAACCAAUUCUGGACACAUGGGAAUCGUCGUAAAAUGGAGGGACUUGACUCAUUAUUUGCUUGUGAACCUUGGGUUAUAGAUUGUGAAAGGCUUGUGGGAAGGGUCGUGUCAUUUGGCGUUAUGAACAAGGAGUGCCUAAGGUCUUUUAUUCUGCCCUGGGAGCUUGUGAUAUCCAUCCAACUGCACAUACUGAGGGUUCACUUAAGGAGUUUAGCAGCGUGAGUUUCUGACUUCAGUGGGGAUGAGAUUUUAUUUGAAACUUUCAUGGGCAGAAGUUUCCUACGAAAACAUCUAGAGCAACGUUCAGAAGAUGGCUUGUGAAAUUGAAUCAGCAGACCUUGGGGGAGAAAUGAAGAAAUUGCUCGGUGUAAUAAAGAUGAGAAUAAGAAAGCUGAAUUUAUUGAAAGGAACAGAGAGGUAGUGAAAAAAUUAAGGUUAACAAGAGAGACAACUGAACCAAGAAGAGAUCACUUACAGCAUUUGAAAGAGAAUUGCCAGUGCUCAGUAGAACAUUUCAAAAUCAUUUGCCAAUAUUCCCAGCUGUGGACUGGGUUUAUUUGUUCAUGCCACGCUUUUAUGCCACAUUCCCAAAUUACAUUUUGCACAGUUAUAGGCUUGUCUAGUAGGACCCAUAGAUCUUUAGUCGCCAAUCUAAGAAUGUGUCUUGAGAUUAUCACUUAAUUUUCUAUGCUUUCAGAAAGGUGCUCUAAUCAAAUGGUGAAAAGAUUUCAAACUUCCAGAGAUUUAUAACUAUGCAUGACUCUCCUAUUCAUAGGAGAUUUGUGCGUUUCUUGAAUGUUAGAUACACAUGUAUUCAAGAAUAAGUACAUUCCAAAGCCAACUCCAGCAUCUUCCAUCUAUCUACUCUUAGAUUACCCUUGCCUUUGUUCUUUCCUUCUGUAAAUGUGGAUAAUCAGGAGUUGACUUCAGAAGUGUUUACGUUUUGGUUUCUCUGCCUCUGGAGUAGGAUGAAAUCUAAUAGUGUUUGUCCUGUGAUGGUGAGAUGCCAUACUGUAUCUGCGUGGUCUCUAUCUUUCAAGUUGUGCUGGCACAUUCUAUAGUACGGUGUUGCAGAAAGCCGCAUGUCCACACAGAAAUGCAACCUUCCCUGAUUAACCCUGCUUGGGUCUGAUUUUAUGCCUUGUUCCUCAGCUUCUUGGGACAUAGGUACUCAGUUAGCACUUGAUUCUGUCCCGGUUUACACUUACAUACUAUAUACUUGUUUGGGCUUUUCUCCCCUUGCAAGCAGAUUUUUUAACCUAAUAUGUAAAAAUUAAAUACAUACAUACAUAUAUACAUACACACUGUUGUGUUUGUUUUGCUUUAAAAUUGUAAAGGAUAAACUGUGGGAUACUUUUAGCUGUCUCAUUUUCCCAGCACAGUGAAAAUGAAGUCUGACUUGCUAAAAUUGAAUUUACACUCAAUUUUUUUCUGUCGUACAACUCUUGUAGAAAAGGCACUAAUCUUAUAUGUAACGUAACUUCGUCUACACUGAGCUUUCAUUCAGGCGCUGCUUUUAUUUCUACUUCAGGAGAUGCCUGGCCGGGUGUCCCUCAAGACACGGUAUUGAUUGGUUUACUUCUAAGGAUAACUGUCAGGCACCAAAAUUGUGAACAUGUGGAUUUUCUUAGAAGCCGUUAGUGAAACUUGGGUUUUUACCCUGCAUACCAAAAUAAGCAAGGGGGAAAAAAAAAUAGAAACGAGCCCAGUAAUACUUUAAAUUUUAUUUUUGUAGGUAUCUUGUAAUGCAAAAACCAAUUCCCUUGGUUUCCUUCUUCCUUGCCUCGGGUGUAUCCCUAGCAGUUUUUGGUCUGCGGCACUUCUAAAUGCCUAAACAACUCGAAACGUAGGCAUUGGUAGUGGAAAUGCUGACACAACCCGAACUGUUACCCCUAGAAUGUAUUACCAUGUGGGCACAGAUGCCAGAUUCCGUACUUAGUGUAAGUGAAGGAUAAGGCUACUACUGUUCAGUUUCCAGCUUCUCACAGGAGGGGAGUCCAGGUAGGUGUGGACCCUCUGUUUCUCCAGUCUCGCCCUUCAUCAUCCCACUGCCCCCACACAUGCCGUGCCCCAUAAAGUGGUCGCUUCGUAAUUACCUCCCACGGCCAGAGCGUGCAGCAGUCACUUAAGUGUUCUGGGAGGGUCUCGUGUUGUCCUGAGGCCCCAUCCUGUGAUCUGUUCUUCAGAUCGGUGGAGGAACCAGGACUGACGGUGUUGAGCCAACAUAGGGUGUGUCUGUCAUAAAAUACAAGCUUGAAUUUUGUUUCGUCGGGAAGGGAUGUUUUUCACAGCAGUCUGGUGAAUUAAGAACAGUAUACAGAAUCAUACGGUGAACGCGUUAUAUUUGGCUCUGCCGAUAGGAUUUAUGUAUGGAACAUCAAUUUUCUGUACAGACAUAAUUGAGUACAUAUUACCAUGGUGUGAGAACUGCAAGAAUGCGUAUGGUGUGUGGGAUGUUAAGUUUUAAGAAAUGUAACGAAGGGGAAAAUCAGAGAAACCUGAAAACAACGCAACUGAUAACAUUAACUUGAAUUUUUUUGCUCAGAAUACGUGUGAAGUAUGUAUGUUCUAUGCAGAAAUACAAAGACAAAUACAUUAUUUUAAUAUGUUGCCAUCUUCCUUUUGGGGUUGAAUUUUUUCGCAGAGCAAGAAUAACCUAGCGGGCAGUUCCUAGGGUCUGAUGUAUGGCUCAGUAACACUCUCAGUUUGUUAACAGCUUCUUCCCGUAGGGCUGUAAGUAAAGUGUGGUGUCAGGAGGUCUGAGGGUCUCUCCUACUUCCUACUAUCCAGGGAAUAGUGUGCUUUCCCCCAAAGCCUGGCUGAAAGUUGCUCUUGGGGAAAGAAGAAGAACCUGGCUGACAAAUCUGUCACCCGUUUGAAGAAUCAUCUGGAGCCACAAACAACCUAGUUAGUGGAGAUCAGCAGGAGUUUAGGCAGUAAUUGUCCAGAGCCCCAUUCAUUGGCGGUGGUGGAAUUAUUAUAGAAUAAUGUGACUUUAGGGGACAUAUUGAUCAACCGAAAGAGGUUUAAAGCUUCUCAGUGUUGGUGUUACAGUAACGGUUUCGACUUUCUGGAUUCAGUAAGGAAAUGCAUAGCAGUUGACUGCUUGACUUCAGGUUUUGUGUCCCCCCUGUGUUCCCCCAGUAGCAUCCGUUUCUGGUUCUUAGGCUGCCUAGCCUGAAACCGAGCUUUUGGUCUUUGCUGUCUGGGAGUUACACGCCCACAACGCGGCAGUCAGAGUUUUUCUUUCUCCUAAUAAACCAAACUGCCUUUGUCGUCUCCUACUCUUGGCCUCUUUUUCACCUUCGUACCAGUCACGCUUGCAUCAGGCUGGGAGCCGCCGCAGCAUCCGGCAUCGGGGCACUGGGGCGUGAUUCCUGCUGGGCUGUCGGUGAGCUCUGGGCCCACAGCCCAGCUCCCCAGCCUGCCUCGCCGCGUUUGCUCCUGCUGGAAUACCAUCCACCUACCUGCCCACAGAGUGAGACGGUGAGACCAAUGAGAAACAAGUGGGAAAUAAUGAGAGACACGUUGAAUGUUCUGGACACCUUGAAGAGACAUGUUUAUUCAAGUCAUUAUUAAUAUUUUUGCAAAGUAUGGCAACAUUGAUUUUUUUCAUCUGAGAACGAUUUUGCAUGUGUACAGAGUUGGAAUGUUGAAUUGAACCUUUCUCUUAUAAAUGGGCGAAGUACCUCACCCACCACCUAAUAGCACAGACUUUGAAGUUGCUAUUUUUUAUUUCCAGCUUCAGGCAUGAAUCUUUGCUCCAUUUUGUGGGUGGCCGGGAGAUAAUACUGCAUUAUUUUAAGUUUUCUACCUAGGGCUGGGUGUGUGAGCUGAUGUCGAGCACAUACACCAUUGUGCACAGGAUGCUCUGUGCAUCUAUGCUGCAAACUCGCCAGGCGCAAGGAUUUAAAUUUUUCCUUGGCAGCCCAGCCAGUCAGGUGUCCAACUAUACCUGGAAGCCAAUUAGUAUUUUUCACAGAGCCAGGUGCAAAGCUGCCAGGUAACAUCUGUAAGUGACUCGCGUGGCUCUGAUGGGAUCUGCAUAUGUUCAGCCCUAUAUGAAGAUGUUUUUCACUUGACACUGAGUCAUCUUUGGUCUUGUUCUCCACCCACUCCAUUAAGCAGACGCACCUACACAUGUUGCUGAUUUGAUUUGCUUUCAGACGAGGAUGGUGCCUCGAGUUUCUCUUCCUGAUGCUAGUAUUUCUGUAGAUGCCUCUUGGAAAACUAUCUGCCCAUCCAAAGUGCUUUCAGAGGGGACGGGACGACAAAUCCUUAUGUUAAUUAUCAAGGCAUUUUCUGAUAAUCCUGUAGGUCUGACCUAAAUUACCCAAUAAGGAUUUAUUUGAGGAUUUUGUGUUUUCUUUUUCAACAAUGUGUUUGAAGAUGGCGGUUUUCCUCAAAGAAAAGAACACACCUGAGUUCCUGUAACGUUGAGGACUGAAGACUUGGGUUCUAAUUGCCCUGGUUCCGCAGCUAAUGAGCUAUGUGACUUUGGGCAGGACACAGCCUUUUCGAAAUACUUGAAUGCGCUGCUUUCUCAGAUGCGUGCAAUCUGGAGAAGCACUUGUUCCCGAGUCACACAGAUCUAAGUUUAAAUCUCUGCUCCACCUUCUGUUAGUAGAGUGAUCUUGUGGAAGUUCUGUUUCCUGACCCAUAGAAUGGGUAUAAUAUUAUGUACCUCAGAGGGUUAUUUCCAGAGUUUAAAGAUUUCAUAGAUACGGAUGUGCGUGCUUGUUAGCGCCUGUGCACGGUAGCUUUUCCACAAAUGUUCAUUUUUACUGCUUGUCUCUUUGACUUUACUAGUUUUUUAUUUCAAGUACUACACAAACAUAAUAACAAUUAAAUGAUUUUUAAAGAAUGAAUAACAGGCACCUGGGUAGCUCAGUUGGUUAAGCGACCGACUCUUGAUUUCGGCUCAGGUCAUGAUCUCAGGGUUCGUGAGUUCGAGGCCCAUGUCAGGCUCUGUGUUGACAGCGUGGAGUCUGCUUGGGAUGCUGUCUCCCUCUCUCUGUGCCCCUCCCCUGCUUGCACUUUCUCUUUCUCUUAACAAACAAACAAAAAAUAAAAGAAUAAAAGAACGAAUAGCAAAUUACCAAUAAUUCCAACAUCUGAACAUCAACCAUUUUCUUUUUUCUGGGGCCCCUUCGAGUGCAUCUUAAUAUAGAGCCUUAGGAAUCUUCUAGAAAACCCCUGUGGACAAAUACACAGAUCUCUAGAUGGGAAAUCAAACUAUAUUUUACAAUGACAUUGUAAUAAAAUUAGAAUGUUUUUAUUGAAAUGAAUAACUGAUUAUCAAUAAUUGUGACUAAAUAAGAAUAUUUAUUCUUAUUUAUUUAACAGCUGAAAAAUCGAUCCAAGAGAAUUUAGAGAAAAAAAACAGUCCUUUGGCCAGCUUUACGGCAAAGCCAGUUAAUGGUGGCUGCUGUGAAGAAGUUAAGAACAAGAGUGUUGGAUGGGGAGGCUUCAUUUUUAUCAGACCUUUGCCCACAGGCGAAGAAAACUGAACGAGAGGAGUUGGAGAGGUUUGGCUCUAACUUUGCCCGGCUUAGCCUUUGCUAUUUCCACGCUUCCCUGCUUCUGACUCCAGACCUUGCCAGAAGCUGCAAAAAGGAGCCAACAUAACCCCAAAUCCUAAAUGCUUCUUACCAUUUCUCGUAACACUAUAGCCUCAGUAGGCAUGUGCUUUUGAUACAGGUUGGCUGGGUCCGAGGACCUAGAGAGAGUCCCACAGGACCAGCCAUGAGGGUCCCUUGGCUUCACACAGGAUGGAAAUCAAACAUGAGCCUAGAGGAAGUGAGAGUAGGGUUGUUGUUUAUUUUUUUAAUGUUUAUUUACUUCUGAGAGAGAGAGAGAGAGAGACAGAGAGAGAGAGAGAGAGAGACAGAGCACGAGCGGGGGAGGAUCAGAGAGAGAGGGAGACACAGAAUCCAAAACAGGCUCCAGGCUCUGAGCUGUCAGCACAGAGCCCGAUGCGGGGCUCGAACUCACAAACCGCGAGAUGGUAACCUGAGCCGAAGCUGGAUGCUCAACUGACUGAGCCACCCAGGCGGGGAUGUAGGAAGCAGGAAAAGUUUUACACAGGGUCCCUUUAAUUUGUCUGUUUCAGUUUGAAUCUCAGGCAUGAAAAUUAAGAGUCUGAAACAAAUGUCUUCCCACCACCUAGUAAGUGUUACCAGUAUCCCAGGCUUUAAUGGAAGUCCCCACUGCCCCUGUGCUGCCCCCUUGAUUCUGUCAUUCUGUAUUUUCAGUUAUAUUACUUGUGCCUCUCUGUUUAUUUCAACUAAAUGUAAAAAUACGUGUUUAGCUACAAGUAACAGAAAACCUGAAUUGCAGGGGCUUACACGAUAAGUAUGCUUUUAUUUCCUCAACAAGACGCCUGGAGGUAGGUGGUUCCUGGGUAAGUUUAGCAUUUCUAUGACAUCAAGACACACGACUGCCAUCUCAUUCAGUGUUUGGCCUUCUCCUCGUGGUCACAAGAUGGUUGCCACAGCUCCAGGCCCUAUAUCACGACCAAGAGGCAGAAAGGAGGGUCACAUACACGUGUUUUGCUUGUGUGCCUCCCACCUUCGAUCAGGGAGGGAAGCUCCUUCCCAGAGACCUCCCAGCAGUGUUCUGUUAGCACCACCUCAGUGGCAGAGGGGGCUUGGAACAUGAGCCUCUAGCGUUUUCACUCUAGAAUGGGAGGAGGGCAAAAGGGAAGGGGGAUUUGGAGAAGAGCCAGACAACAGUGUUUGCCAUGGGAUCAUGCCUAUUGAUCUUAGCCCUUCAACCUCCAAUUUGAAAACAGAGAUGAACCAUCUGUUUUUCCCUUCCUGGGGAGUUGCAAGUUAUGAAUAAAUUAUGCUGCCAGAGCUCCAUAGAGUCCUUAAAACAAAGCACUGUCAAUCCAAGGUCCUCAUUUCAUUAAACCCAUAUUAGUUUCUAUUGCUCAUUUGAUGGCAUCUGAUUGUUCCCUAGGAUAAGAUGUAUUGGCGGUAUUGGAGGGAGGAGAAAAUUACCUCAAAUCCACUCUGCCACCCCCCCUUCUCCCCCAGUGCUGAGUAAUCACGGGACCCCAACGUCCUCCAGUCUUUUCAGCGUAACCAGAGAGCUAAGGCUACAAGUUCAGGGCAGGGGGAUUGACAUGUUUGAGAAACCUCUGUGCUGGAGUCCUGAGAAGGCCUUUGGACGGAGAUACAUUAUUCAUGGAGCGAAUUUAGCCACCGGUGGCGAAGAUGGAGCAUCGGGGAAGCGCCGUGCCAUUACAUGCCCCUGAAAUGACACGUUUGUAAAGCUACCCAUCUGCCUUUCUGCCCCCACUAGGCGCCCCUCGCUCUAAUUCCAUCUUCCCAAUUUCCUGUGUCUCAGGACUCUUCAAAGGGUUUGGAAGCAGUUCUCUGGAUUUCUUGGAUGAAAAUGGCUAGAUGUAUUUAUUUCUAUUUUAAAAUAGCUUUGUGUUGUUUCCUCAUCAAAGUGUCACGUAUUUAUUUAUUUAUUAUUAUUAUUUUUUUUAAUUUUUAUUUAUUUUUGAGACAGAGAGAGACACAGCAUGAGCAGGGAAGGGGCAGAGAGAGAGGGAGACACAGAAUGUGAAGCAGGCUCCAGGGUCUGAGCUGUCAGCACAGAGCCCGACGCGGGGCUCGAACUCACGAACUGUGAGAUCAUGACCUGAGCCGAAGUCGGACGCUCAACCGACUGAGCCACCCAGGUGCCCCAAAGUGUCACGUAUUUAAUUUGCGGUCUGUUUUGUCUUGCCUCGUAGUCUUUUACAUAGAGGACUGGCUCUUCUUAUCUGGGGUGCAGUCUGCUAGCCCUCCCUCAUGAUGGCUCGCCCUGGGCCAGUUCAAGUCUGUUUUACUUCAGGACGGGCAGUGGACGGCCCAAAGCCAGAUGCCCCUGCGCUUCCCUCCUCCUAUUCUCAACGCAGUUAAGAAAAAAAUAAAGGUAACUCCUUCCAAAAAGAAAAUUCCCUUUCUUUUUCAGAAGAUACUUCCUUUGGAAGCGGGCCUGGCUAAUGGCUGAUUAUGGACCCACAGGUCUAAACCAGAAAGCUUGCACACGCAAGAGGCCUUCAAGGGGGCCUUGAAGGAUCAAACACAGUCAUGUAGUCCUUAUUGUCAUUUGUGGCCUGAGUCCUUUCAGUUGGCCCAGACUUCCCAUGCCAAAGGGCUGGGAACAGGCAGACAAGAGCUCGUACUGCCACACCCCCCACACUUCUCUCUCCUGCAUCGCACCUACGUCCCUUGUUUUCCGCUUCCCUCCUCAGGUCCUCAUUGCUUUGCCCACCUGUCUCAGUUGUACCUCUCUGACGCAAUGUGUUUCUUGCUCCCUGGUGCUUGGGGGCCAAACACAGGAGCCCUCCCGCCAAGCAACCACUCCAGGCUUCUAGGGACCCACGCUGCUCUGGUUGGCCUAUAGCUUCCCCAAGUUCAUCAUCCCUGGAUCUUGGAACUUGAACUGGCUUCCCCAGUUUUCUGGAUUUGGUCUGCGUCUUUCCUAGACCAUGGUCCUUUCCUCUGCUUCCCCCCCCACCUUGUGCUCUAGCCAGAGCUGUUCUAGUCCCCCAAAAUAGAAAUGCUGCAUGCUCUCCAUGCCAAGGCCAUCCCAACGGGCUCUCACCUCCAUGGGCUGCUGGGGCUUAUUUGUGAGCCCUGACUUGAUAUCUGCUUUCCAAGAGUGCCAAUGGACUCACAAUACCAUCCAAAUGGCCCUGAAUCCAUUAGUUUGAAACAGUCAGUCACAAGGAAUUUGCAGCCCAGAUGUCAACUAGGAUCCUUGUGCCUUUGAGAUUCAAAUGACGUCGGCUUUAAAGCACACUGAAAAAAAUAUGAGAUCCCGUCUGCCCAGAUCCCAUGUCUACGUACUCUCUUUACUUACUGUGUGAUUUUGUGCAGAUGACGU